UCAAACACAGAACAAACACAGAAGAAGAGGAGGGGAGAGACAAAUCAGAGGGGAGCAGCGACGAAGAAGAGGGGAGCGGCCACCAGCGAUAUUUCUUUUCCCUCUUUCAAUCAAACCUAACGUUUCUCUCCAUGAGCCUCUUUCAGUUGGCCAUCGAUCGAAGCAAGCGGCAAGCCCUAAGCCCUAAAUGAUAACGCAUGGCUCAGAGACGAAAUUUGAAGAUUGUGUUUGAAUUUCUCUAAUCUCUCUCGCCCUUUCUCUGAUCGGAAGGGAAAGUCUUGUUGGUGUUUGCUGGUUCAAUAAGUGAGAAUCUGAAGGAGGAGGAAACCCAGCUCUCUCUCUCCUCUCAUAUCCCAAAAUGCUAGCGCUGGUUCUCAAUCUAAUACUAUGCCAAGUCCUAUAUAGAAGAUCUAUAAGGUUUAAAAUGUGAGUUGUUACACUGGAAUGGGUCAGGUGUAGUUGUUGCCAAGGCUGAGAUUGCAGCAACGGAUCCUAAAGCGUUAGAAGAUCAUUUUCCAAUUGGUCCAAAUUGUUGGAAAGUAUGGAUUGAUGAUAUUUUGGUCGGCAACUGUCCUUUGUAUCGAGCAAGCCUAAAUGGAAAUUUUUAUCUUCGUAAUGCUAACACAAGCUCGGUUGUAUGGCCUAAGAAAUAUGUGAAAAUUAUUCAGAUUGAUUAUCACUAGUUCAUAAGGAGCAGAAGAAUCAGAAUUUCUAUGAUUUCAGUCUACAACAAAGGUAUUUUUCCCAAGAAUGAUCAAAGAAGCGGUUUUGAUAACUUUCCGUUGAAAUACGUGCGCCGUGUCGGGGAGUCAUCUUUUGGACCUGACUUCUUCUGUUGCCGUUUUGUGAAGUCAUGACUGAGUGUUCGUCAUGGAAGUGCGUCCAUGGUCCGGCGUGAAGAAGCCUUGUUAAUGUAGCAGAGGCAAGCUCCCGCGGGCGCCCGCCGAACCCCUCAUCUUUCUACCCCAUUUCGCUGGGCCUUGCUGAGCCCUUGCGGGAGCCCCUGCGAGCCACCGUGGGGGCCCACCGCGCCAUCGCAGGCGCCCGCCAAACACUCAGUCCCCCGCAAGCCACCGCAGGUAACCCGCCAACCUGCUGCAGGUAGCUCAACUGCCCCUGAAUUUCAGCAUUUUUGUCUCCUUAUCUUCAUUUUGUGUGGCUUAUCUUGAUGUAGAGGGGGGAGCUCGGGAUUUAGGGGGUAUGGUGAAUAGGUUUUGGUUGGAAUAAAGAGGAGGCACACAUCUCAUUUCUCAAAUCUCAAGUUUUGGGGAGGCAAAGGGCUAGAGAGAGAAAGGAGUGUUCUUGAGUUUAGGGUGUGAAAAUGGAGAGUGGUUCUUCCUCUUCUUCUUCAUACUUUGUAAUUAUGGGUAACUAACUCCCUAUUUAGAGAGGUGAUGAAGCUCCAUCUUGUAAGCAUUGCUCUAUUUUGAUUUAUAUUUGGGGAUUAAUGUAUAUGUGUGAUUUUUCCAUGAACUAGAGCAAUUUAUGUUAUGUAAAGAACUCCAAUGCUUAUAAAUGAUCAUUUUGGGUUAAUUAUUUUGUUUUA